UUCUAGCCGCGAUAGAAACGGUUACCCCGCAGCGGGAACAGGAAAAGUGAGGCACUAACCCGGGAAGCAAGGCGCGAGGAGUAAGAGUGGAUAGCGGGAUAAAGC
rnacentral:misc_RNA from 1 species